rnacentral:misc_RNA from 1 species
GAUGAAGAACGUAGCGAAAUGCGAUAACUAAUGUGAAUUGCAGAAUUCCGUGAAUCAUCGAGUCUUUGAACGCACAUUGCGCCCCCUGGUAUUCGGGGGGCAUGCCUGUCCGAGCGUCAUUACAACCCUCAAGCCCGGCUUGUGUAAUGGGCGGCCGUCUCUCCCCCCGGGGGGAGACGCCCCCGAAACUCAGUGGGGAUGUCGCGAUACCGAAGCCUCAGCUAAUGGGUAAACCACAGCUGCAAUGGCCGCGGCCGGCGUCCGCCUUCCACGGUCCGUCCGCCUAGCGCGGGCGGCCUUCUCAAGGUUGACCUCGGAUCAGGUAGGGAUACCCGCUGAACUUAAGCAUAUCAAUAAGCGGAGGA